AAUAGAGUUUGGAUCUGGCUCAGGAUGAACGCUGGCGGCGUGCCUAAUACAUGCAAGUCGAGCGAACAGACAAGGAGCUUGCUCCUUUGACGUUAGCGGCGGACGGGUGAGUAACACGUGGGUAACCUACCUAUAAGACUGGGAUAACUUCGGGAAACCGGAGCUAAUACCGGAUAAUAUUUCGAACCGCAUGGUUCGAUAGUGAAAGAUGGUUUUGCUAUCACUUAUAGAUGGACCCGCGCCGUAUUAGCUAGUUGGUAAGGUAACGGCUUACCAAGGCGACGAUACGUAGCCGACCUGAGAGGGUGAUCGGCCACACUGGAACUGAGACACGGUCCAGACUCCUACGGGAGGCAGCAGUAGGGAAUCUUCCGCAAUGGGCGAAAGCCUGACGGAGCAACGCCGCGUGAGUGAUGAAGGUCUUCGGAUCGUAAAACUCUGUUAUUAGGGAAGAACAUACGUGUAAGUAACUAUGCACGUCUUGACGGUACCUAAUCAGAAAGCCACGGCUAACUACGUGCCAGCAGCCGCGGUAAUACGUAGGUGGCAAGCGUUAUCCGGAAUUAUUGGGCGUAAAGCGCGCGUAGGCGGUUUUUUAAGUCUGAUGUGAAAGCCCACGGCUCAACCGUGGAGGGUCAUUGGAAACUGGAAAACUUGAGUGCAGAAGAGGAAAGUGGAAUUCCAUGUGUAGCGGUGAAAUGCGCAGAGAUAUGGAGGAACACCAGUGGCGAAGGCGACUUUCUGUCGUAACGACGCUAUGGAAGCGCCGAA
rnacentral:rRNA from 1 species